UAUAUCAAUCGCUUUCAUAUAAUUUUUUUAAAGAGUACAGGUAAGAGAUGAUCAGAGUCUAAACUGGAUAUUGUUUAUAAAUAGUAAAGAGAAGUGAUAGGAUAAAGGAGAUAUCAAUAUAAUGGAGUUGACAAGGUGUGGUAAUUAAUUGAUAUAUGUUGGAAUAUAAUGGGAAGAGAAGGGUCAUAGAUAACUCACAAGCUACUUUGUUUCCCUUUCAGUUAGGUGGCACCACAGUGCAUAGAGCAUCAGGACAGGAGUUGGGAAGAGAGAGAAAUGAGCCAUGAUGUGAUUAUACAAUUAUUUCUUUGUGUCUUGCUUGUUUGCCAUCACACAUUUCUGGAUUUCAAGACAACUUUUGUAUUGAAAUGAGUUACCAGAUCAAGAAGAAAAAUAUGUUAAGUCUCUAGGACAUCCUUCAGAUACAUACCCUUCUGUCAUCUGACACCACCUCUGAAGAGUUCAGUCUGCACUCCUGCAACAGCUGGCCAAUGGAUCUUCCUGCCUCAAGUUUCUCCACACUCCAAUCCAUCCUCCUUUCAACCACUAAGGCCUAGAGCUGAUGACUCCAUACCUGUGAGUAUCAGCCUUACAGGACUUCAAAUCAGACUGCUCUGCAUUUUGAGACUCAAAAAGAAGGUGAAAUGAGGACUUAUCUACUGGCUGAAAUUUAAAUUUUCCAGGUGGCAGAAGUCCUGGAGAGUUGGAAUCAAAAAAUGGAAAUUUACACUUAAAGAA